CCUACGGGGAGCUGCAGUGGGGAAUAUUGCACAAUGGGGGAAACCCUGAUGCAGCGACGCCGCGUGAGUGAAGAAGUAUUUCGGUACGUAAAGCUCUAUCAGCAGGGAAGAAAAUGACGGUACCUGACUAAGAAGCCACGGCUAACUACGUGCCAGCAGCAGCGGUAAUACGUAGGGGGCAAGCGUUAUCCGGAUUUACUGGGUGUAAAGGGAGCGUAGACGGCAGCGUAAGUCUGGAAUGAAAUCACAUGGCUUAACCAUGGAACUGCGUUGGAAACGGUGCAGCUAGAGUGCAGGAGAGGUAAGCGGAAUUCCUAGUGUAGCGGUGAAAUGCGUAGAUAUUAGGAGGAACCCCAGUGGCGAAGGCGGCUUACUGGACUGUAACUGACGUUGAGGCUCGAAAGCGUGGGGAGCAAACAGGAUUAGAUACCCUUGUAGUC
rnacentral:rRNA from 1 species